rnacentral:lncRNA from 1 species
UGCAUCUGCAUUAAAACAGGUGAUGCAUUCAUCAUGCUGCACCAAGCCAAAUGAAUUAGCAGCUUGAAAGCCCUGCAAUACAGCAGACCAAAUCCAUUAGUUGCAGACCAACAUGCUCAUGCCUUAACGCUGCAGCAAAUAAACUUAACAAGUUAAACUCAGCUAACCAAUACUAAGUGAACCAACCAUCAUUAGUUUAAGACUGUACUAACAGAGCUAAAACAUCCAACCAUUAAGCGUCAUUUGUCAAGAUUAAAGAGGAUGGCAUAACAAACCUGUAAGGCAUGUUACAGACCAACAAAAGUCUUAGAAUUAUGUAGCAUAACCAUGUCCUUUAGGUUGGUAACAAGCAUAAGCACAGGCUUUGCAUCAGAGGUGACAUCCUGGUACAACAAGGGUCCACAUGUUGUAGAAUUUUCUUCUUGUGAUCAUCAUCAAACCACAUCCCUGCAUAAACUAGAAACAAAUGAAGGUUGGCAAUUGGAAUCAGUGUAGAGUGGAAUAUGUUCACAACCAAACUCAGUGACACAAAACCUGGUCAAAAUAGAUCAAGCAUGCUUGCAGCCAAGCCUUGAAN